GAUGAACGCUGGCGGCGUGCUUAACACAUGCAAGUCGAACGGAAGGGCUCCUGCUUGCAGGGGUACUCGAGUGGCGAACGGGUGAGUAACACGUGGGUGAUCUGCCCUGCACUUCGGGAUAAGCCUGGGAAACUGGGUCUAAUACCGGAUAGGACGAUGGUUUGGAUGCCAUUGUGGAAAGUUUUUUCGGUGUGGGAUGAGCUCGCGGCCUAUCAGCUUGUUGGUGGGGUAAUGGCCUACCAAGGCGUCGACGGGUAGCCGGCCUGAGAGGGUGUACGGCCACAUUGGGACUGAGAUACGGACCAGACUCCUACGGGAGGCAGCAGUGGGGAAUAUUGCACAGUGGGCGCAAGCCUGAUGCAGCGACGCCGCGUGGGGGAUGACGGCCUUCGGGUUGUAAACUCCUUUCGCUAGGGACGAAGCGAAAGUGACGGUACCUAGAGAAGAAGCACCGGCUAACUACGUG
rnacentral:rRNA from 1 species